rnacentral:rRNA from 1 species
AUGUGCAAAAAUCUACAGGUUAGGAUUUCUGCAAUAUUUGUCUUUGUUUCAUUUGUUGUCCUUCUGAGUGUUUGUGGAGUGACUGCUCAUACUGAUGAGAUCAAGGUUAGGAUUUCUGCAAUAUUUGUGUUUGUUUCAUUUGUCAUCCUUCCGAGUGUUUGUGGAGUGACUGCUCAUACUGAUGAGAUCAAGGCCUCAGGAAUGAGUUUGGUUCAUUAUGUACCUAUAGUCACCAUCUUUAUGUGCCUAUUGGCGAAUGGAGCACUUGUGAUGAUUCCUGCAUACAUCUGGUUCGAGACUUACAAGUGCACCCUAACCCUCAUUUGCCUAUAUGUUAUCAUGAUGCUGCUGGCUGGGUAUUUCAAAUCCAAGACGCAAUACCUUUGCCGGUGUGGAACUAUCCGCUGUCCUAGAUCUCAUUCCAUAUAUAUGCCGUCCAGGCCCUAUCUUUCUUCGACCGGGUCUGGCAUGCUAACGAGCAAUGCUGCUGUAGGGAUACAUGUUAGGCUUGGCAAGCGCUGCUGCUGGCCUAGCAUCGCAGUGGUGGAGCUCCAAAGUACAGGUGUGCGCGGUUGGGGCGUCAUUCACCUGUGGAAGCAACACUUCGGCCAGAACCCAGACUAUGUGCACUUCAGGCUACAUUAUCCAUACACAGCACUAAGAUAG